rnacentral:rRNA from 1 species
CCUACGGGAGGCAGCAGUGAGGAAUAUUGGUCAAUGGGCGCAAGCCUGAACCAGCCAAGUCGCGUGAGGGAUGACGGUCCUAUGGAUUGUAAACCUCUUUUGUCGGGGAGCAAGGCCCGCCACGUGUGGCGGGAAGGAGAGUCCUCGAAGAAAAAGCAUCGGCAAACUCCGUGCCUGCGGCCGCGGUAAUAAGGAGGAUGCGAGCGUUAUCGGGAUUUAUUGGGUUUAAAGGGUGGGAAGGCGGAAGAUCACGUCAGCGGUAAAAUUGAGAGUCUAAACCUCUUCGAGCCGAUGAAACUGGUUUUCUAGAGUGAGUGAGAGGGAUGCGGAAUGCGAGGUGUAGCGGUGAAAUGCAUAGAUAUCAGGAAGAACUCCGAUUGCGAAGGCAGCAUACCGGCGCUCAACUGACGCUCAUGCACGAAAGUGUGGGUAUCGAACAGGAUUAGAUACCCGAGUAGUC